UGCCACCUGCGCACUUUACAGUCACUUAAAAGAUACGUGGUGGCCGACUGGGUUCAUUCGACAAGCAGAGAAUGUCAGCUUUAAGCCUAGGCUUGUGGCUAAGAGGCAUCAGCCUUGCUAGGGAUUGGUAGGAUAAGAGAAAGAAGGGGAAAAAAUAAGUAAGGGUAGGGUUGAAAGGGUGAGCAUGAGAGUAUAAGGGGAGGAGAGGGAAGAAACUGAGAGGGAAUGAAAAUGAGGCAUAGGUGGAAAAGAGUAUAAUUCAAGGCCCAGGGUGUGGAGUCCCAAGAGAGAGCUCUGUCCUCUCUUCCUUGUGCUGUGAUGUAGACUACCCCUAUCUAGGGC
rnacentral:lncRNA from 1 species